CCAUUUUUUUUUUGUGCUUGUGCAUCUGUUUACAUUACAAUUGACACAACAUAUGAUCCGAAUUGUCGAUAACUUUGUGCAGCUGAUUGUUCAUGCAAAAUGUGGGCAAGCACAACGUCGAGCAGCAUCUAAAAGGCGGCGAAUUACACGCCCAGGCCCAGCACAUUCUCCACACCCCUUCCCUUCUGUGGACCACUCCCCCUCUCCACCCCCUCCCCCUCUCUUUCCCAAGCCCCCUCUCUGGCCCACUCCCCCUCUCCGGCCCACUCCCCCUCUCUUUCCCAAUCCCCUUCUACGCCCCCCUCCCCUUCUGUGGCCCACUCCCCCUCUCCAGGACAAUCCACCUCUCCAGCCACCUCCCCCUCUCCGGCCCACCCCCCCUCUCCGGCCCAAUCCCACUCUUUCCCAAUCCCCCUCUCCGGCUCAAACCCACUCUCUUUCCCCAACCCCCUCUCCGGCCCAAUCCCACUCUCUUCCCCAAUCCCCCUCUCCGGCCCAAUACCCCUCUCUUUCCCAAUUCCCCUCUCUGCCCCCCCCCCCCCUCUGUGUCCCAAACCACCUCUCCACCACCCUCACCCUAUCAAUCUCAACCACUCUCUGUAAGGCCCUCCCCCUUCCAUCCUCUUUCCCAAAUCGACCCUCCUUCCCCCAUCCUGCCUCCUUCCCCCAUCCAGCCCCCAGCCCCCAUCCAGCCAACCUCACCCAUCCAGUCUACAUUCCCCAGCCAGCCACCUUUGCCUCCAUCAGAAUGGGCAGCAGAGGCCCCGGAGCCACUUGAGGGAGGUGGGCAAGUGGCAGAGGAGAAUGUUGCGGUUGGAGAUCCCACAAGUUUUGCUGGAAUUCUGGCAAACAUGCGCCAGCAACUUAUAAAUUUGCUGGAAAGUGUUGAUUUGCUGCAAAAAUUUGUUUGAAAAAAAAUAAGUUAUAUUGUUAGAAAGAAAAAAAAUAUUUUGAGAAAAAAUGUACUAAUAAAUAUUUUUGUUUCAAGUUAA